UACGAGGGAGGCUGCGUGUUGAUUGAAUCUGGGCGUAAAGCGCACGUAGGCGGAUCGUUAAGUCAGGGGUGAAAUCCUGGAGCUCAACUCCAGAACUGCCUUCGAUACUGGCGAUCUUGAGUCCGGAAGAGGUGAGUGGAACUCCUAGUGUAGAGGUGGAAUUCGUAGAUAUUAGGAAGAACACCAGUGGCGAAGGCGGCUCACUGGUCCGGUACUGACGCUGAGGUGCGAAAGCGUGGGGAGCAAACAGG
rnacentral:rRNA from 1 species